AGAGGGUGCGAGCGUUAAUCGGAAUUACUGGGCGUAAAGCGCACGUAGGCGGCUUGGUAUGUCGGGUGUGAAAUCCCCGGGCUCAACCUGGGAACUGCAUCCGAAACUGCCUUGCUCGAGUAUGGGAGAGGGAAGUGGAAUUUCCGGUGUAGCGGUGAAAUGCGUAGAUAUCGGAAGGAACAUCAGUGGCGAAGGCGACUUCCUGGACCAAUACUGACGCUCAGGUGCGAAAGCGUGGGGAGCAAACAGGAUUAGAUACCCUGGUAGUCCACGCCCUAAACGAUGAGAACUGGAUGUCGGGAGGGUCUGCCUUCCGGUGUCGUAGCUAACGCGUUAAGUUCUCCGCCUGGGAAGUACGGCCGCAAGGUUG
rnacentral:rRNA from 1 species